UACGUAGGGUGCGAGCGUUGUCCGGAAUUAUUGGGCGUAAAGAGCUUGUAGGCGGUCUGUCGCGUCUGCUGUGAAAACCCGAGGCUCAACCUCGGGCCUGCAGUGGGUACGGGCAGACUAGAGUGCGGUAGGGGGAGAUUGGAAUUCCUGGUGUAGCGGUGGAAUGCGCAGAUAUCAGGAGGAACACCAAUGGCGAAGGCAGAUCUCUGGGCCGUAACUGACGCUGAGGAGCGAAAGCAUGGGGAGCGAACAGG
rnacentral:rRNA from 1 species